rnacentral:rRNA from 1 species
GACGAACGCUGGCGGCGUGCUUAACACAUGCAAGUCGAACGGAAAGGCCUCUUUCGGGGGGUACUCGAGUGGCGAACGGGUGAGUAACACGUGAGUAACCUGCCCUUGACUUUGGGAUAACUUCAGGAAACUGGGGCUAAUACCGGAUAGGAGCUCCUGCUGCAUGGUGGGGGUUGGAAAGUUUCGGCGGUUGGGGAUGGACUCGCGGCUUAUCAGCUUGUUGGUGGGGUAGUGGCUUACCAAGGCUUUGACGGGUAGCCGGCCUGAGAGGGUGACCGGCCACAUUGAGACUGAGAUACGGCCCAGACGCCGACGGGAGGAAGCAGGGGGGAAGAUUGCACAAGGGGUGGAAGCCGGAUGCAGCAACGCCGCGGGCGGGAUGACGGCCUUCGGGUUGUAAACCGCUUUCGCUCAUGACGAAGCUUUGUGUGACGGUAGUGGGUAAAGAAGCACCGGCUAACUACGUG